AAUAAAUUGCAUUUAAGUAAAUAAAGCUUAUGACAAUGUCUUUAAUUCAACACCAUUCACAUAAAUCAAAACUUAAAUCAGUAGGCGGUAAAACCGUCUAUGGUAAAUAAAUUGCUUUAAAAUAAAUAGAAUUUGUAAAAUGAUUUUAAGCUAACACCAUUCACAUAAAUAAAAGGUAUCAUACCUUUGUUUUUAUUUUUAUUUUUAUUUUUUUUUAUGUCGGCACCCUUUCAAACCUUUUCUUCCUUUUUAUUUAUUAUUUCCUUGGUGAUGAUGCAUCAUGUUCCCUCUUCCUUUUUUUUUUAUUAUUUAUUUUCUUUGUUAUAUUUUCAAAAAGUCUCAUUGCUUUUGCCUUAUCCUCUAGCUCCUCCACAUAAUACUUCUUCCUCUGCUUAGAAAGCUGAGCACUUUCUUUGUUUCUCAUCAGUCUCGCCUUCCUCGUUCAGCGGUGUGCUCAGAGGACAUAUCAGCAAUAAAAGAAGGAACAACAGGUACUGGGCAGAUGAACAAUUUUGAAGAAGAAAGUAUUUCAAUCCGAUCUUUGCAAGUUGGAGUUCUGACGCUGUUUACAUGGCUGUCAAAUUCUCUACGAAUUUUGAGUCUGUACUCUUUUGCUUCUGCAAAGGAUGAUAUACAAUCAUACAACAUCAUAUAUAUAUGUGCUUCAGGAAAAUCAGUAGUACAAAGAUUUUAAGAUGAAAUGAAAAGAUUUUCUUA